rnacentral:rRNA from 1 species
UAACCCCACAUUCCAGAACGACCAUGUGGCGCAUUGUGGGCCUGUGCUUUUUUGGCGACAAGAUGCACUUUGUGGACACGAAGUGCAAGACGUUCCGCCUGGAAGCCCUCCAAGGAGUUUCUCUCUGCGCAAGGCAUCGCGCUCUACGACACCGCCCGCCGCGUUGUCCGCACCAAGGGCACAGCCUCCCGACAAGGACCUGCGCAUAGUGGAGCCCCACCGACAUCGACCGCCUGUUCAGCCAGCUCCCCAGGCUCACCACCAUCCUCGCCGCCGGCCAACUGGCCACCGACACGCUGGCCCGACACUUCGGCAUCAGCGUGAAAGGCAUGGAAAUGGGCGGCCCACCUGGAGUUCUCGCACCACGGCCGCACGCUCCGGCUCUACCGUAUGCCCAGCUCCAGCCGAGCCUACCCCAUGGCCACGGAGAAGAAGGCGGAGUACUAUAAGUCCAUGUUGGACGACAUUUUCAACAAGCACACAUAAACAACACCAUAAAAUAAUGAACGAGAAAGUAACCAUCAUAGGCAUUGCCGGCGGCACAGGCUCUGGCAAGACCACCGUCGUGAGAAAGAUUGUGGAGGUGCUGCAUGGUUGUCGUCAGCUCGUGCCGUGAGGUGUCGGCUUAAGUGCCAUAACGAGCGCAACCCCUGUCUUUAGUUGCCAUCAGGUAAUGCUGGGCACUCUGAAGAUACUGCCACCGUAAGGUGUGAGGAAGGUGGGGAUGACGUCAAAUCAGCACGGCCCUUACGUCCGGGGCUACACACGUGUUACAAUGGCGCAUACAGAAAGUCGGCCUCUGGCAACAGCGGUCCAAUCAAGAAAAUGCGUCGUAGUUCGGAUUGGGGUCUGCAACCCGACCCCAUGAAGCUGGAUUCGCUAGUAAUCGCGCAUCAGCCAUGGCGCGGUGAAUACGUUCCCGGGCCUUGUACACACCGCCCGUCAAGCCAUGAAAGCCGGGGGCACCUGAAGUCUGUGACCGCGAGGGGCGGCCUAAGGUGAAACUGGUAAUUGGGGCUAAGUCGUAACAAGGUAGCCGUACCGGAAGGUGCGGCUG